rnacentral:lncRNA from 1 species
AUCCCAAGGGAUCUCCUUCCUUCUCAGAGUCAUAGCCAUUCCAGGGAAUCUGCACAUUUUCUGGCUUUCCCAUUUCUAUCAGAUGGUUACUUAGGAACAAAUGAAAAUCAGCAAAAGUGCCAUGAUAAUUAUCACAAAUUUGUACGAAAUAAUGAGGCAGUUGAAUGCAUUUUUUCUGUCUUAUCUCUGUUUGUCAAUGAGCUAAACAGUGUGUUCAGGUCCCUCUGAAUACUUGGAGGAACAAGAUUCUUUAGCCUUGUCUCACUGAUUCCCAAAGUUUAUCUAAGUCUUCCAGAGGAGGACCUCUAUUGUCAACACUUGAUAGCCAAACCCUUCCUUUGUUUUUUUCCUUCUAUACACUACUUGUUAAUCAACUUGCACAAAACCAAUUUCUGGUUCAACUUUGUCCUGAGCUGCUAACUGGCUAUGACUUUAUUUUACAGGUGCAGUAACUUUGUUAGCUGUUAUUUUGAGGAGCUCCAGCCAUGGGCUCAUUUGAUAGAUUUAAUUGCCAACUUCUUGAACAAACCUCUUGAUUUUAAAAUUUUAAUUUAGCAUGUUUAACAUGAAAGAGGAUUGCCGAAUAAGUGUCCCAUUUGAUUUACUCUAUAAGUAAUACAGCUGUUUGUCUUUAUUUGAAAAAUAAAGGUAGACACUUAGAAAUGAAAGAUGAAGGCUUGGAAUGUGACCUGUAAGUCCAGAAAUCACAGACCAGAAAGCAAGAAAGGAACAUGAACAGCACAUGUCAAGUAUCCAGGAAUUUCUAAGUAUAAUGCAGAACUUGGGGCAUGAGAAAUAAUCUCUCUCUCUCUCUGCGUGUGUGUGUGUGUGUUUUCUUUAUCUGAGCAUGUUUUUUUAUAUACUGCCUUUUCUGGUAACUUCAUUAGGUCUGUAUAAUUAUAGUUUGCUUCAACCUUAGUCUGCAUCAGUAUUCAUUAUUAUCUAUUUGGUGCAUUGUAGCAGCAUAAAUAUAACUAAAUUACUAGGGUCAAACCAUAAUGGGAGCUGUUGUGAUGGUAAUUAGAGCAGAAAUAUAGUCCUUUUUUGGUAAAACUUGCAGAAUUGUAGCAUGAGGUGUGUUCUUAUAGGGUACAAUUAAAGCCAGGUUGUGGGUUCAAGGUGGUAAAAUGAUGGAUAAUGAAGGUACACCAUUAAUCACAGUUCUGAAAGAUGCUCUGUAUCAAUUCUUUUCUCUCUGAAAGGUAGCUCAGAGGUUGAUGCUAAGACAAAAACCAACAGAGGGCUUAGAGCUCAGCUGUUGGUCCAUGGAUGUUCGUAGAUGUGACUUAAACAGAUGCUUGAAUUGUGCUAUACAUUUAGGCUUGCUCUCCCGCUCUGUCUUCUGCCAUGAGAAGAAUAUAUCUCACUAGCCACUGACUGGGACAAGGAAGAUGAGAAAUAGUCAUGGCAGAUCUAUACCCAGCCUAUAGCUCUGAGCAAAACUCUGAGUCAAACUCGGCCUGCAUUUUGCGGACUCCCUGCUGGCCUGAAAAAAUUUGUAUUCAUUGUGGAAAGCCAAUUUUCAUUGUGGAAAGCCAAUGAAAAGAAAAUUCGUGUUCAUUGUGGAAAGCCACUAAGUUUGUCUGUUUUGUUAUGUAGCAUUGUUGAGAAAAUACUAGACUGAUACAACUGUUUAUGAAUUAACACCAUUUUGCUUUUAGGCACAUCUUCUUUAUGUAGGUACCAUAACAUAGGUUCCCUUGAUCUUUACCAUAAUCUCAUAAAUCAGACACGAUCGUAUCCCCAUUUUAUACAUUUGAAAUCUGAGGCCUCAAGAGGUGAAGAGAAUUCCUAGACAAGACUUGACACCAAUUUGUACAUCUCCAAAUCCCAUGUUACACGCUGCUUCAUCCAUUUAAAUGUAGCUUAGUUAGC